AUCUAAGUACCCCGAGGAAAAGAAAUCAACCGAGAUUCCGAAAGUAGCGGCGAGCGAAAUUGGACUAGCCCUUAAGCUUUACACGCGUUAGACGAACGGUCUGGAAAGUCCGACGAUACAGGGUGAUAGUCCCGUAGUUGACGACGUGUGUUCAGUGAAAUCGAGUAGGGCGGGACACGUGAUAUCCUGUCUGAAUAUGGGGGGACCAUCCUCCAAGGCUAAAUACUACUGACUGACCGAUAGUGAACCAGUACCGUGAGGGAAAGGCGAAAAGAACCCCUGUGAGGGGAGUGAAAUAGAACCUGAAACCGUGUACGUACAAGCAGUAGGAGCAGGCUUUGUCCUGUGACUGCGUACCUUUUGUAUAAUGGGUCAGCGACUUAUAUUCAGUGGCAAGGUUAACCAUCUAGGGGAGCCGUAGGGAAACCGAGUCUUAACUGGGCGUUCAGUCUCUGGAUAUAGACCCGAAACCAGGUGAUCUAGCCAUGGGCAGGUUGAAGGUUGAGUAACAUCAACUGGAGGACCGAACCGACUAAUGUUGAAAAAUUAGCGGAUGACUUGUGGCUAGGGGUGAAAGGCCAAUCAAACCUGGAGAUAGCUGGUUCUCCCCGAAAGCUAUUUAGGUAGCGCCUCGGACGAAUACUACUGGGGGUAGAGCACUGUUAAGGCUAGGGGGUCAUCCCGACUUACCAACCCUUUGCAAACUCCGAAUACCAGUAAGUACUAUCCGGGAGACACACGGCGGGUGCUAACGUCCGUCGUGGAGAGGGAAACAACCCAGACCGCCAGCUAAGGUCCCAAAUUACUACUAAGUGGGAAACGAUGUGGGAAGGCUCAGACAGCCAGGAUGUUGGCUUAGAAGCAGCCAUCAUUUAAAGAAAGCGUAAUAGCUCACUGGUCGAGUCGGCCUGCGCGGAAGAUGUAACGGGGCUAAGUAGUAAACCGAAGCUGCGGCAAUAUACUUUUGUAUAUUGGGUAGGGGAGCGUUCUGUAAGCGGUUGAAGGUGUGUGGUAACGCAUGCUGGACGUAUCAGAAGUGCGAAUGCUGACAUGAGUAACGAUAAAGGGGGUGAAAAACCUCCUCGCCGGAAGACCAAGGGUUCCUGUCCAACGUUAAUCGGGGCAGGGUAAGUCGACCCCUAAGGCGAGGCCGAAAGGCGUAGUCGAUGGGAAACGGGUUAAUAUUCCCGUACUUCUUACAAUUGCGAUGGGGGGACGGAGAAGGCUAGGUGGGCCUGGCGACGGUUGUCCAGGUUCAAGUGCGUAGGCUUAAGA
rnacentral:rRNA from 1 species